rnacentral:lncRNA from 1 species
UUUCCAUCAUCAACUAUGUUUCGAUUAUCAGUGCCCCCUUCUUUGGUCUCUGACGUGGGCUCUUCCAGCUUCUUCCUGAGCUGAAGGCUUCCUCCACUGCUCACUUCAAACGUUGACCCGUAACUAUGGCCAAUGGCGUUAUCCAGGUAGAACUACUGUUUUUCAAAAGUUACUUUUUUCCUCCGCUGGACUUGCACUGCUUCGAACACAUCUUCUCGCUUCAGCACCACGAAGUCGCCGUCAUGGAUGCAGUGGUCCCCGAGAUGCGGGGGCUGUGGGCUCGGCUGCUCCGCGUCUGACAUCUCCAUGGACGCCAGGCAGUCUUCAGCCUCCGUUCUUGCUCCAGCCGCUAGGAGCCCGGCACAACCAGGAGUGACCUGCGCCUCCUCCUUGAAAUAUAUAUAUAUAUAUAUAUAUGCAUUUUUUUACAUGCAGACAUCCAGUUAGACCAGCACCAUUUGUUGAAGUUUUGUUGUGUGUAGUUCUUUAUAUAUAUUAAAAAAAAAAAAAA